CCAAAGCUCAUGGCAACGCCAGAUCCUUAACCUAUUGAGCGAGGCCAGGGAUUGAACCUGCAACCUCAUAGUUCCUAGUCGGAUUCGUUUCUGCUGCGCCACGACGGGAACUCUGGUUUCUACUUUUUUGAAGAUAUUGUCAUAGUGCCUCAAAACUGUAGAACAGUGUACACCUCUCCCAAUGGUAUAUUUGAGCACCCUAUCCCUCAUAUUCUUAAUAAUCAUUGUUCAUCUGUAUGUCAUUUUAAUUUGCAUUUCUUAAAUUUUGAGUGAAUUUGAAGUUAUUUUCAUAUGUUUUCAGGACAUUUUAUUUCUCAGUGAAUUGUCCAUAAUCAUUGCCCAAUUUUCAGUGGGUUGUCUUAGCAAUUUGUAGAAACUCUGGGCAUAUUAGUAUUUGAUGUAAAUAUUUGCCUCGGUUUAUUUUUUAUCUUUGGUUUGGUUAUUGUCUUUUGUAAAAUCAAUUGUAUCUUCUUUUUGACUUCUUGGUUUUAUAUCAUAAUUAAAGUUCUUCCUAUGUUCAUAUGUUCAAAACUUAAGACUUUUUUUCCUUCAAAUGUUUUUAUAGUUUCAUGUUUUAGCUUUAAGUAUGGUAUACCUAGAAUUUAUUUUGGCUUAAGGAAUAAAGGUAAAGGUUCAGCUUUAAGUUUUCCAAAUGGCUAGCAGUUGUCUCAACAUCUUUUUGGAGCACUUUUCCUGCUUUGCAUAAAAUCCUUGAAUUUGAAAUUUUUUGACUGGUAAAUGUAUUACAUUUAUAGUAUCAUCUAAACUAAGGGACUGAUUUCACAAGAACAUAUUUUACAUUGGGUGUUCUUAAGAAAAGAUAGGUAUUGUUUUUAAAGAAAUUUGAUUUUAUGAUUGUUGAAAUUUGUGAUUAACUCGCUGGAAUUUAUUGAUUGUAUUAAAUGGGAGACCUCAACAUUACAUUCUUGACAAAUGCAGUUUUAUGAUUAGUAUAGGUUAAGCCUGAGUAUAAAGUUACUUGCUUUAGUAAGCUCUAAAACAUGUCUUCUGAAUAUUAAAAUCUCAUUGCUGGGAGUUCCCGUCAUGGCUCAGGGGUAAUGAACCUGACAAGUAUCCACGAGGCCACAGGUUCAAUCCCUGGCCUUGCUCAGUGGGUUAAGGAUCUGGCAUUGCUGUCGCUAUGGUGUAGGUUGCAGAUGCAGCUCAGAUCCUACAUUGCUGUGGCUGUGGUGUAGGCCAGUAGCUACGGCUCCAAUUAGACCCCUACCCUGAAAACUUUUAUAAUGCUGGGGGUGAGGCCUGAAAAAGACAGCAGACUAACAAAAAACCUCAUUACUUUAUCAUUAAAGUCCUUGGCCAAAAUGGAAGUAGUGAAAAUCGUGAAAAUUUGAAGAAUAGCGUCAGUUUUGUUGUUGCAUUCAUUGGGUUGGAUGGAUUGGUUCAGGGGAAACGACGGAACUAUAACCUGUGAAACAAAACAUGUUGUGCCUGAAGCAAAAGGGGGAAAUGGUGUUGUGAACAUGACCAUAAAUGAGGAUAAAAGUUACUUAAGAGAAAGAUACUGAGUUUUGGAAAAAACUUCUCAUUUUUUGCCCAAGAAUGCUAGCAAAUAUGAGUUAAGAACUGUGGGCUAAAUGAUAGGUUUCCUUUGUUGAAGCACAAAGAGAAAUUGGGGAUUUAAAGAUAAGUGAAUAUUAAGGCUCAAAGUAGAAAAAGUAUAUCUAUCAAUUAUUUAUUUUCUUUAAAACUUAUUGCAGCUGAAAAAAAUGGGGGUCUAUGACAUACAUGAUGAAGGAGGGAACAUUGACUGCUUACUUAUAAGACCAGAAUAUAGUUUUGCUUGAUUAAGGUUGAAAUGCAUCAAAAUAUAAAACUUAAGGAAUUAUCUUAUGAACAUCAGUGGGAAAUGAACUUCAGAGCUUAUUGAUUUUGUUUUUAAUGGUUUCCACUUGAGGCAAACCAUAGCCUAAACCUAGAUAUGUCUUCUUCUUUAUUCUAAAUAUUUAAGUGUAAGUCACCAUUUAUUACUUUAAAGCUUGGUUCUGAGACCUAGAAACUUCAGGUCAGACCAUUUAAUCUUGUAAAAGUUGUCUAGAUAUUGAAUGUAGUUGGACUUCACAUGAAAACUUAAGAGAAGCUAACUCAGUCAGUCAUGUUUAAGACAAACAUAUAGCUUAAAUUGAAUCAUGUAUAUGUUUUGAUGUUUUCUGUGUUGUACCAUAUUCCCAUAAAAUUAAAGAAUUUCUGUGGUAUAGAUCAAGCAGAGAAAUGCAAAACAUCAAACAGUGUUAGUAUAGGAGUUCCCAUCAUGGCUCAGCGGUUAACUAACCUGACUAACUAACCUGCAGGUUUGAUCCCUGGCCUCGCUCAGUGGGUUAAGGAUCCAUUGUUGCCAUGAGCUGUGGUGUAGGUCGAAGACACGAUUGGAUCCAGUGUUGCUGUGGUGUGGUGUAGGCUGUCAGCUACAGCUCUGAUUGGACCCCUAGCCUGGGAACCUCCAUAUGCUUUGGGUGACACCCUAAAAAGACGACCCCCCCAAACAAAAGACCAGUGUUAGUACAGACUGUAGUGAUAAUUUAUGUAUUCCGUUUAAUGGAUGUAUAUGAAUGGUGUAAAAAAUUCAAAAGGUGUUUGCCUUCAUUACACUAUAGUUAGGGCCAACUCUUUGAGCCUGACUUGGGCAGCAGAAUUUCUGAAUUUUAAAUUAAGGCUUCAAUUGAAUGUAAAGUACUCUCAUAUUAAGUGAUUUUGAAGGCACUUGGCUGAUUUAACCUUACAAAAUAGUCUGAGACAUUUAUAUUUGGGAUUGAAACCACCAAAAUCAUGCUCCAAAUGAAGGAGAAUUAAUUUUCAGGAUUAAUGUAGGAUUUUGAAACAAGCUUCACACUUAAAAGAGACUAAUAACUGGCUAGUGACUAGAGUUAGCUUGAGUGUGAGAGUUGGGCUUCUCAGUGGGUUUUUUUUUUUUUUUUUCCCUUUGUUAUUAUUCAAGUAUAGUUGAUCCACAAUGUUUCUUCAAGUCCUGUUGUACAGUAAGGUCCCAUUGCCCAUCUAUUCCAAAUAUAAUAGUUUGCAUCCAAAAACCCCCCAAAGUGCCAAUCCAUCUCACUUUGUUUCUAGUUCUGCAGUCUUAUUCUGUUGUCACAUGAUACAUUCUGCCUUCCUCCUCUGAUGGAAGCACAGCAGUCCUUUUCUGGUCCCUUAGCAUAAUAGCCCAGACCUAAGACAAAAAGUUAAGAAAUGCAAGGCUAGGACCCCACAUGCUGAGGUUUGGAACUACUUUUCUUCAUAUUCAGCAUUUAACUCCCAGUGCUUAGAAGCAUUCAGUAUUUGAUGAAUGAGUGAACUCUCUUUGAUUUUAGCACAGGCUAAUUUUCAUGUCCUCCUAGCAUUACUGUUGGAAUGAGAAAUUCUAAUCUAAAUACACAAAAAUGUAUUUCUUAUAGGGCCAGACCAUUGUUCUGGUUUAGCUUGCACUUUCCUUUCUUGCCUAGGUUAUAUGUGUAAAGGAGAGCUAAGUUGCUGUUUAACAUCAUUAGCUUCAUUGUAUUUAAUUCUGUAAAAAUAAAUGUUUCAUAAUAAUGACAGGAGAUAAAUACUACUCUGGCUUUGUAGAACCACCUUGGAAUUAAAUUGUUAUUAUUUUUUAUACCUGGCAGCUGAUGGGGUAAGAAGAACACCCUUUCAUUCUAAAUAGGGUUGUGAUACUCUGGAUGGAAAUGAAAUGUGUACAUUUUCAUUUUUCUUUGAUUAAAAAUGGCUUUUAAUAUUUUACAUUUUAGUGUCAUGUUAGAGAUUUCAUUCCAUGACCAUUUGUUCAUUCACAUGUAUUUUUAUUUUUAGCUCUAAGCGAAAGACAUGAGGCCUAAGACUGAAAUGAGGUUGUUUUGAGGCCAUCUGAUUUCUGGCUAGAAGGUGUGCGAUCGCCUCGUCCUGAAACCACUGCAGACAGAAUGGUUUGCAAUUUUUUUUGGUGAUGACAUGUUCAGAAUCUUGGAUCCCUAAGUUGAAAUAUAUUGGAAAUACUUAGGAACUCUGGAAAUUGUUGUUUUUGUAUAUCUAAUGACUUUCUAGGUGAAUCAAUAGAUUUAAUAAAAAGUAUAUAAAAGAAUAGGCAUCAUAACUUUGUAUUUCUAAGUUGGCAUGCGUGUCUCAAAUUCUCAGCUAUCAAUAUUACUGUCAUACUCUGGUGACAGUUAUCUUCUGAAGAUUUGGGGGCUUUCAUGGACCCCCUGUUUUCCCAGGCAAUCUGUAUAGUCCUCCCAAGCUGAUUUGUGCAACUUCUUUUACUUUCUAUCUGCCUUGGAGUGUAGCUCACUUAGAUCAGAGAUAAUUCUUGAGCUGGAGGAGAGAGGAUAAAAUAAUCAUCAGGUGACAAUCCUAAAGGUAGCAAUUAUAAAACUUCAACCUGGAAAUGGCCUCAGCACGGUCUAUGUUAGAAUAUGCAAAUUCUACCCAAUAUAUCCAAAUACACUUGUGGCAGAAUGCUGCCAAGUUUCGAACGGUAUUUUAAUAUUGUGCUAAUGAGGAAGGAAAGAAGCUGCUCAUUUUUACCUCCUCCCUCUCUUGCUGUUGUUGAAGGAACUAAUUAGGAAAGGAAAAUGGCCAAGAGGAAUUCCCGUUGUGGUGCAGCGGAAACGAAUCUGACUAGGAACCAUGAGGUUGCAGGUUCAAUCCCUGGCCUUGCUCAGUGGGUUGAAGAUCUGGCAUUGCCAUGAGCUGUGGUGUAGGUCACUGACGCAGCUCGGAUCUGGUGUGGCUGUGGCACAGGCUGGCAGCUAUAGCUCCGAUUAGACUCCCAGCCUGGGAACCUCCAUGUACUGUGGGUGUGGCCCUAAAAAGACAAAAGCAAAAAAAAAAAAAAAAAUGCCAAGAGGCAGUGUGAAUGAAAGCAGAAGGAACGGAACUUCCCAAGGAGUAUCUACCUUUAGAAAAUAGAAAGUUCCAGUAUUCCAUGUACACUGUUUUAAAGUGAUAGGCUUCUUUCAUGUGGACUCAGUCUAUGAGCUAGGGCAUUCUUGACCAUAGUGGUGGGUGGGGAACCUAUAUUUGGUGGAGAGUCAGCCCUUGGGGGGCUUGUGCACCAUUGUUGGUGGUUGUCUUCUUCUCUGGCCUCCUUCUGCUGGGAUUCAGAGGUUGGAGGAACAUUCAGGGGCGGAUAGUUAUUUUGAUGGUCAAAUAUGAUUGCCUCCCUAUUUUUUUUGACCAAAAGUUGGGAAAGAUUGAUUUUUUUAAAGACCAUAUUCACAGAAACUUGAAAAAGGAUUAAAGGGAAGGGAUGAGGAGAAUUCACAGAAAAAAAAGAUUAAGUGGGAGCUCAGGAUGUUAAUUAUCUGUUUAUUGUGAGUUUUAUUAUUGAUAGAUUAUCCAAAAAUACAGAAAUUGGUGUAAUAUAGAAAUUUCCAUAAUAUUUCUAUUAGAAGGCUUUUUAGCAGCUAAGGGGACUAUACUAUAACUUCAUCCUCUCCCCUUUGCUUUUCUUGGUUUAAGAAGAAUUGGCUGAUACAUAUUUAAUAAAUGGCACAAUGAAAACAUCAGAUUUUUAAAAAAUCAAGUUACGUUUUAUUCUAAGUAUGUGUUGCCUGUUGAGCUGCUUUCCCAUUACAACUGGCUUUUAAAAUCUCUCCUGUGAUACGUUUGUCAAUAGAGGUGUUUCCUCUUAGCCAAUUGUAGCCACGGUAUUAACUGGGCCCAAGCAUUUGAUAUAUCCCUAAGGAAUUAGGCAGGAAAAAACCUGGUCCCUACUGGAAUGAAUAUUUUAAAGACCUUCUUAGAUUCUGAACUUUGCGAGUACAAUGAAAGAGACCCAAGAGAGGAAAAAUUUUUAGGGCCUGAGAAUUAAAAUGAUGGUGGGGAUAAGAAGGCUAAAUUCUUAUAUAACUAACCUAAGGGAAGGGAAUUAAUUUCCUGGAGAGUACGAGGUAGUGCGUGAAAUCCCUUGGAUGGUAGGCAUUCUGAUAUUAAUUUGAAUAGUUCACACUAGCAUGCUGUAAUAUUUUAAGGAUAGUGGCAGGUGAUCUUGGGAAGUAUCAGUGCAUUUCCUAAUAGUGAGUAUGAUUUUAUUCUGGUAGGUUGUGAAUGUCUAUGCAGCUCAAAGAUUAAUUCAAAAUAAAUAUCUUAAAUAUUAGAAAAAAUACUAUAAAAAUGGGUUUUUCAUCUCUGUACAUGUUUAGAAAUUAAUAUAGAAUACUGAGUGUAGUAGAGAAUUAAUGGCAUGAAUAUAAUCAGUAUUUAAUGGUUGCUUUCUAGAAGCUUCUAAAUAAAACCUAAAAUUGUUUAGUGUUAACCUCAAUUGUACUACAGCAGCAUUCCUAGUGUGUGUGUCUCAUGGGAAAAUCCGUCCCUUCUUGGACCACUGCACUUCACAGCCUUGCACAUCCCAGUGAGGAUUCAGGAACUGGCUCAGUUACGAGGGUGAUUAGACCUUUGGGUACAUUCAUUACACAGGGACACACAGAAAGUGAGCUUUGGAUGAUGGCUCUUGGUAUUUUGGAAGUUUUAGACCCCGUUUGGAAAACCGGAAGAAAGCUAUGGAUCGUUUCCCCAUUAGAACCACCAUUUCUGAAGGUAGAGGGACAGCCUUUGGUUGUCAGGUCAGGAAGCCCUGAUCUAAAAGAUCAUCACCUUCACUUUGCUUUUGACCUUGCUCCAGCUUUACUGUCGCUUUCUGUCAACAGCUCUCUGUCACCUUUGAUUGGAGCACCAGAUAUUGAAGGGCACUUAGUGCCUUACUCAGGAACUGAAUCCACAAGUCCAGAGCUUUGUGAUGUCAUGGAGCAGAGAUUCUCUGCAAAGGGCCACCCCAUGGGUGCUAGCGGUAAGCUAGGGCCUGAGGCAUUAAGGUGUGGGCCAGUCCUCCCAGGGAGUACCUCCCUCUUGCUGGUUUAGGGGAAUUUAUUUCAUAGUUAGCUGAAUAUUAAUGUUUUGUUUUAAAAAAUGAGUAAUUCUAAAAUUUUUGAAUUAUUAUAAAGCUUCUCUACUUAAAUGUGACUUUUUCUCAUGUUUUAGGAUAUCAGAUUCACAGCAUGAAGUAUAUACUUCAAAUUAACAUAGUGACUGGAAAUUUGGGAUUCUGUUAUUUUGUGACUCUAAAAUUUGUAGCACGUUUUUAGGAAAAUUGUCAAGAUUCCCAAAUAUUUUGUUCUUUAUUUCUUUGAAGUUUCCUGAGUGUAUGGUUAUUUCUGAAUUUUAUUAAUCCAUUUACAAACCUUAGAGAAAACUGCCUUCCGUUCAUAUUUGGACACAGGGGGAUGCUUUAUUUUAUUAGAAAUGUAUUUGGACAAAAAAAAUCCAUUUGUGUGGCUCUCAUCUCCAUUUUGGAAUCUCAGUUCACCUGCUUGGUAUGGCAUUCAUUGGGACUUUUCUGCGAAAUACAGCUUCACUAAGAAGGUCAUCCUUGAAAAAUCAAGAAAUCUGAAGAAACUAAUUUGGGGACCGAGUAGGAAGAUGGAAGAUCAUCAUCAGAGCACAGCACAGCACCCUCUGGAAACAUCUUAGACUUAACUGCUUUUGUACGUGAAACAUAAUUUGAAUGUCUUUGAUGAAUUGGACCUGUAGACAGAUAAGAUGUAUCUUGAAUGUAAGAAGAAUACAACUCUAGCCUCUAAAAUAUUUCUAUCUGUACAGUUGACUUUUGAUUGCUCACACUGGCAGAGGAACCCUGGGUCAUUCAGCCUGGCCAUUAACAGGCUAGGCAUCAUGUAUUCUGGAUUCUGUUUUGGUAUUCCUUUUGGAAUAGAGCAUUUGGACUUUUCCAGAGUGUGCCUCCCAGUUUUGCCUGCCCUGAGGGAGGAGCCUGAGUUGAUGCCCAGAUGCUUGUUCUCUGUCCUUCUGUCUUUUCUGAACUGUUGACCUAAGUGGGAGGAAAACAUUGAGCAUGUAGGAUUCCAGAAUUGAUCAGAAUUCUGCUAAACCUACCCCGCCUCUCCUUCCUGGGUAGUUGUAUUCCAUUUCCUUUUCAGUUCUUCUAAAUUCCACCCAAUUUUAGCCCCUUCAUCUUAGGUAGGAUAGAAUAUCACCCCACUGUCCAGGCCUCUUCCCUCUUGCCAUGCUUUGUUCUGCCUGCCAUGGGAGGUUUUCAGUUGCCUUACUGUGAAAGCGUCUCCUUGUGUCCUUGCAUUUCCAUCUCCCUCCUUGGAUUUUCUUGUGGGGAAAUAGAUCUAGACUUAGCAAUUGUGGCUAUCUAAGGUUUGCCUAUGAAAGUUGAUCGCAUUGUAUUUUAAAAUAAAGCUUUUUAGCAAUGGCGUGGACAGGCAUCUCUGUUGGAUAUCUGCUCUGUGCCAGGUGCUCAGCUGGGUGUGGCUGUCCACUCUCUCACUCCACCACCCAGCCCUCUUGAGGCCAGGAAUGAAUCUCAUCAUGCCUCAGGCAUAGGAAGAAUCAGAACUGACUUGUGUGUAAGCUUGCUAGUUCCUGGAGUCACGAGGUAAUGAGAUAGUUGAAGAGAUCCCUCUGUUUUCACCAGGUGUUAGUAAAAAUUGUUUGCAGAGAAAGUGAUUAUGGCAGUAUGAUUGUGAAAGCAAGAACUUUAAAAAAAAUAUGCCAGAUUUUAGGUUAACCUACAUGAACCCACAUUGACUAAAAAGGUAUGUCUUACUUUAAAAAAUAUACAAACUAACAUAACCCUAGAAAAUACCACCAAAUUACCCUGAUAUUUUCCACAAUGUGCUAUUACUCUAAACAUUUUUUACAUGUAGUUUUCAGAAACACGUGUAAAUGUGUUUUGUAUAAAAGAGAAUAUACUGUGUAUGAUAUUCUGACUUGCUUUAAUAAAAUUAAACUUAAGCGGUCUCGUUAUUUAAAGCCUAAUAGUUUGAAAUUAUUUUCUGAGUAAAGUUUUACAGCAUAUGAUACUAUUUUUCUUUUCAUGGAAUGUACAGAUCUGCUUAGAAGCUGCUCAUGUGUGUUUGUUUCCCACAGAUUCCACUUACAAUAAAAAUAUUAUAAACAGGG